rnacentral:rRNA from 1 species
UACGGGGGGGGGCAAGCGUUGUUCGGAAUUACUGGGCGUAAAGGGCUCGUAGGCGGCCAACUAAGUCGGACGUGAAAUCCCCAGGCUCAACCUGGGAACUGCGUCCGAUACUGGAUGGCUUGAAUUCGGGGAGAGGGAUGCAGAAUUCCAGGUGUAGCGGGUGAAAAUGCGUAGAUAUCUGGGAGGGAAAUACCCGGGUG